rnacentral:rRNA from 1 species
ACACGACUACAUUAGAUGCCCCUGUAGUCCUAGCCGUAAACGAUACUCGCUAGGUGUCGGCCACGGUGCGACCGUUGUCGGUGCCGUAGGGAAGCCGUGAAGCGAGCCACCUGGGAAGUACGGCCGCAAGGCUGAAACUUAAAGGAAUUGGCGGGGGAGCACCACAACGGGUGGAGCUUGCGGUUUAAUUGGAUUCAACGCCGGAAAUCUUACCGGGACCGACAGCAACAUGAAGGCCAGGCUGAAGACUUUGCCGGAUUAGCUG